rnacentral:snoRNA from 1 species
AGGUUUUUGUUUGAGAGAAAUCAGUCUCUUUUGCAAAUGAUUCAUUUGGGCCAGAGUGACCUCCAUUACGAGCAUAUACCAACCAAGCUGCUAGCUCAGUGGGCAGAUUGGGUGAUGCAUCGGAAACACU